rnacentral:misc_RNA from 1 species
AACCCCUGUGACAUACCUAUACGUUGCCUCGGCGGAUCAGCCCGCGCCCCGUAAAACGGGACGGCCCGCCCGAGGACCCUAAACUCUGUUUUUAGUGGAACUUCUGAGUAAAACAAACAAAUAAAUCAAAACUUUCAACAACGGAUCUCUUGGUUCUGGCAUCGAUGAAGAACGCAGCAAAAUGCGAUAAGUAAUGUGAAUUGCAGAAUUCAGUGAAUCAUCGAAUCUUUGAACGCACAUUGCGCCCGCCAGUAUUCUGGCGGGCAUGCCUGUUCGAGCGUCAUUUCAACCCUCAAGCUCAGCUUGGUGUUGGGACUCGCGGUAACCCGCGUUCCCCAAAUCGAUUGGCGGUCACGUCGAGCUUCCAUAGCGUAGUAAUCAUACACCUCGUUACUGGUAAUCGUCGCGGCCACGCCGUAAAACCCCAACUUCUGAAUGUUGACCUCGGAUCAGGUAGGAAUACCCGCUGAACUUAAGGUGACCUCGGUA